GCUCAACCGUGGAGGGUCAUUGGAAACUGGGAAACUUGAGUGCAGAAGAGGAAAGUGGAAUUCCAUGUGUAGCGGUGAAAUGCGCAGAGAUAUGGAAGAACACCAGUGGCGAAGGCGGCUGUCUAGUCUGUAACUGACGCUGAGGCUCGAAAGCAUGGGUAGCGAACAGGAUUAGAUACCCUGGUAGUCCAUGCCGUAAACGAUGAGUGCUAAGUGUUGGAGGGUUUCCGCCCUUCAGUGCUGCAGCUAACGCAUUAAGCACUCCGCCUGGGGAGUACGACCGCAAGGUUGAAACUCAAAGGAAUUGACGGGGGCCCGCACAAGCGGUGGAGCAUGUGGUUUAAUUCGAAGCUACGCGAAGAACCUUACCAGGUCUUGACAUCUUCUGCCAAUCUUAGAGAUAAGACGUUCCCUUCGGGGACAGAAUGACAGGUGGUGCAUGGUUGUCGUCAGCUCGUGUCGUGAGAUGUUGGGUUAAGUCCCGCAACGAGCGCAACCCUUAUUAUCAGUUGCCAGCAUUCAGUUGGGCACUCUGGUGAGACUGCCGGUGACAAACCGGAGGAAGGUGGGGAUGACGUCAAAUCAUCAUGCCCCUUAUGACCUGGGCUACACACGUGCUACAAUGGACGGUACAACG
rnacentral:rRNA from 1 species